rnacentral:sRNA from 1 species
AAAAAAUAGUUAAUUAUCAUUGGUUUAAAGUUAUAGAAAAUUGUAAAACACUAAAAAUAAUACAUUUAUAAUCAACAUUUAAUAUGUUUUCUUAAUAUGUGUGUUUUUUCUAAACAAUCAAACAAAAAGGAACAGAGGGAGUAAAUGUUUAUCAAUAUAUACAACAUCGAAAAGAAUAAUUACU